UCCACCUGUGAUCCCCAAACACACUUCCAGAAGUAAACCACUGAUGUAAUUUACUUCUGGAAGUGUGUUUGGGGAUCACAGGUGGA
rfam:Loxodonta africana unplaced genomic scaffold scaffold_11, whole genome shotgun sequence.